rnacentral:rRNA from 1 species
GACGAACGCUGGCGGCGUGCCUAAUACAUGCAAGUCGAGCGAAGUUUUUCUGGUGCUUGCACUAGAAAAACUUAGCGGCGAACGGGUGAGUAACACGUAAAGAACCUGCCUCAUAGACGGGGACAACUAUUGGAAACGAUAGCUAAUACCGGAUAACAGCAUAAAUCGCAUGAUAUAUGUUUAAAAGUUGGUUUCGGCUAACACUAUGAGAUGGCUUUGCGGUGCAUUAGCUAGUUGGUGGGGUAAAGGCCUACCAAGGCGACGAUGCAUAGCCGACCUGAGAGGGUGAUCGGCCACACUGGGACUGAGACACGGCCCAGACUCCUACGGGAGGCAGCAGUAGGGAAUCUUCCGCAAUGGGCGAAAGCCUGACGGAGCAACGCCGCGUGAGUGAAGAAGGAUUUCGGUUCGUAAAGCUCUGUUGUUAGGGAAGAAUGAUUGUAUAGUAACUAUAUACAGUAGAGACGGUACCUAACCAGAAAGCCACGGCUAACUACGUGCCAGCAGCCGCGGUAAUACGUAGGUGGCAAGCGUUGUCCGGAAUUAUUGGGCGUAAAGCGCGCGCAGGUGGUUUAAUAAGUCUGAUGUGAAAGCCCACGGCUCAACUGUGGAGGGUCAUUGGAAACUUUAAACUUGAGUGCAGGAGAGAAAAGUGGAAUUCCUAGUGUAGCGUUGAAUGCGUAGAGAUUAGGAGGAACACCAGUGGCGAAGGCGGCUUUUUGCCUGUAACUGACACUGAGGCGCGGAAAGCGUGGGGAGCAACAGGAUUAUAUACCCUGUGAUGCAAGAGGGAUUUCACAGUGAUUUCAAGCUUAUGGAUGCCGUCCACCUGCGAGGGGGGGGCCGAGAAAAAAAUAUUAUUGUUACCUAUUUUGUAAGGUUAAUUAAUGGAUGGUGCAGACGCACGCUGUGCCGUAGUGAGUGUUGUGCCUGUGUCGUGUGGUGGUGUGCUGUGUCUAGGGUUUGUGUGUGUUGGUGGUGUGGGUGUGGUAGUAGAUG